ACGGCUCAGUAACACGUGGAUAACCUGCCCUUGGGUCCGGCAUAACCCCGGGAAACUGGGGAUACUUCCGGAUAACGCAUAUGUGCUGGAAUGCUUUAUGCGUCAAAUGGAUUCGUCUGCCCAAGGAUGGGUCUGCGGCCUAUCAGGUAGUAGUGGGUGUAAUGUACCUACUAGCCGACAACGGGUACGGGUUGUGAGAGCAAGAGCCCGGAGAUGGAUUCUGAGACAUGAAUCCAGGCCCUACGGGGCGCAGCAGGCGCGAAAACUUUACAAUGCGGGAAACCGUGAUAAGGGGACACCGAGUGUCAGCAUCAUAUGCUGGCUGUCCAGGUGUGUAAAAUACACCUGUUAGCAAGGGCCGGGCAAGACCGGUGCCAGCCGCCGCGGUAACACCGGCGGCCCGAGUGGUGAUCGUGAUUAUUGGGUCUAAAGGGUCCGUAGCCGGUUUGGUCAGUCCUCCGGGAAAUCUGAUAGCUCAACUAUUAGGCUAUCGGGGGAUACUACCAGACUUGGAACCGGGAGAGGUAAGAGGUACUACAGGGGUAGGAGUGAAAUCUUGUAAUCCCUGUGGGACCACCUGUGGCGAAGGCGUCUUACCAGAACGGGUUCGACGGUGAGGGACGAAAGCUGGGGGCACGAACCGGAUUAGAUACCCGGGUAGUCCCAGCCGUAAACGAUGCUCGCUAGGUGUCAGGCAUGGCGCGACCGUGUCUGGUGCCGCAGGGAAGCCGUGAAGCGAGCCACCUGGGAAGUACGGCCGCAAGGCUGAAACUUAAAGGAAUUGGCGGGGGAGCAC
rnacentral:rRNA from 1 species